GCAUCGGUGAUUCAGUGGUAGAAUGCUCGCCUGCCACGCGGGCGGCCCGGGUUCGAUUCCUGGCCCAUGCU
rnacentral:tRNA from 1 species